rnacentral:rRNA from 1 species
UUCCUACGGGAGGCAGCAGUGAGGAAUAUUGGGCAAUGGGCGCAAGCCUGACCCAGCAAUGCCGCGUGCGGGAUGACGGCCUUCGGGUUGUAAACCGCUUUUGUAGGGGAGUAGCAAGGAGAGUACCCUACGAAUAAGUCACGGCUAACUACGUGCCAGCAGCCGCGGUAAUACGUAGGUGACAAAUGUUAUCCGGAAUUACUGGGCGUAAAGGGUCUGUAGGCGGCUGUUUAGGUCUGAUGUGACACCUCUCGGCUUAACUGGGAGUAUGCAUUGGAAACCGGACAGCUCGAAUCCCGUCGAGGUCGGUGGAAUUCCCGGUGUAGUGGUGGAAUGCGUAGAGAUCGGGAGGAACCUCGAAAGCGAAGGCAGCCGGCUAGACGAGGAUUGACGCUGAGGGACGAUAGCGUGGGGAGCAAACAGGAUUAGAUACCCUGGUAGUCCACGCCGUAAACGAUGUAUGCUCGGUGUGUGCGGGUAAAACCGUGCGCGCCUCAGCCAACGCGAUAAGCAUACCGCCUGGGGAGUACGGCCGCAAGGCUAAAACUCAAAGGAAUUGACGGGGACCCGCACAAGCAGCGGAGCGUGUGGUUUAAUUCGAUGCGACGCGAAGAACCUUACCUGGGUUUGACAUGCUGCUGGUAGGGAGGGGAAACCCGACCGACCCGCAAGGGAGGCAGCACAGGUGCUGCAGGGCUGUCGUCAGCUCGUGUCGUGAGAUGUUGGGUUAAGUCCCGCAACGAGCGCAACCCUCGGCGUAUGUUUUACGUGUCAUACGCAACUGCCCGCCAGAAGCGGGAGGAAGGUGGGGAUGACGUCAAGUCAGCAUGGCCUUUAUAUCCAGGGCGACACACACGCUACAAUGGCGCGUACAAUGGGCCGCGAGCAUGCGAAUGCAAGCAAAUCCCUCAAAGCGCGUCUUAGUUCGGAUUGGAGUCUGCAACUCGACUCCAUGAAGGCGGAGUUGCUAGUAACCGCGCGUCAGCCAUAGUGCGGUGAAUGCGUUCC